UGCGUAGGCUGUGCGGAAAGUUGGGUGCGAAAUACCUCGGCUCAACCGAGGAACUGCAUUCAAAACUACCGUGCUCGAGGGAGACAGAGGUAAGCGGAACUUAGGGUGGAGCGGUGAAAAUGCGUUGAUAUCCUAAGGAACACCGGUGGCGUAAGCGGCUUACUGGGGUCUCUUCUGACGCUGAGGCACGAAAGCUAGGGUAGCGAACGG
rnacentral:rRNA from 1 species